rnacentral:lncRNA from 1 species
UAGUUUUCAUGAUAAUUAUGUUAGUGUUAGAGCUUAUGAUAUGUAGGUUCAUUAGAGUUUCUAAACUGCAAUUAUUUUAGGUAGAAUUAGGUAGAAGAAUGUCUCUUUUAAUUCUUGUGUGAUGCAUUUAGUUUUCUUAAACUUCAAUAGGCAUAUCUAGUAAUUGCUAUUAGGUUCUGUUCCUGUUUUUAUUAGUUUGAAUUCUGUAGUUCAUUUUAGAUUCUGCUUGUGCACAUAUUUUUUUUUUUAAUUUCUUUAUUUUCAUUUUAUGUCCCCAC